GGAAGAGACUGGAACGGAGACUGGGAACAGGCAGGGCAUGGAUGGAUCCACAACAGAGACAAACAGCGGGAUAGAGAUCGAGUCACGGAUCGAGAGAUCAAUCCGAAUUAGAGGACGAGUAUGAGGAAGAAGAAGCUGUUGUGGUGUCCUCCCAUGCACUGCCUCUUCCCUGGUCUUGUGCUCUUCUUCAUUCU
rnacentral:pre_miRNA from 1 species